AUUGAACGCUGGCGGCAGGCCUAACACAUGCAAGUCGAGCGGAUGAAGGGAGCUUGCUCCUGGAUUCAGCGGCGGACGGGUGAGUAAUGCCUAGGAAUCUGCCUGGUAGUGGGGGAUAACGUCCGGAAACGGGCGCUAAUACCGCAUACGUCCUGAGGGAGAAAGUGGGGGAUCUUCGGACCUCACGCUAUCAGAUGAGCCUAGGUCGGAUUAGCUAGUUGGUGGGGUAAAGGCCUACCAAGGCGACGAUCCGUAACUGGUCUGAGAGGAUGAUCAGUCACACUGGAACUGAGGCACGGUCCAGACUCCUACUGGUGGCAGCAGUGGGGACUAUUGGACAAUUGGCGAAAGCCUGAUCCAGCCAUGCCGCGUGUGUGAAGAAGGUCUUCGGAUUGUAAAGCCCUUUAAGUUGUGAGGAAGGGCAGUAAGUUAAUACCUUGCUGUUUUGGCGUUACCAACAGAAUAAGCACCGGCUAACUUCGUG
rnacentral:rRNA from 1 species